rnacentral:rRNA from 1 species
UUUCGCAAUGCCCGAAAGGGUGACGAAGCGACGCCGCGUGAGUGAGGAAGGCCUUCGGGUUGUAAAGCUCUGUCAGGAGUUAAGAAAUAUAAGUGUGUUAAUACCACAUUUAUUUGACGAAGGCUCCAAAGGAAGCCACGGCUAACUCUGUGCCAGCAGCCGCGGUAAUACAGAGGUGGCAAGCGUUGUUCGGAAUUAUUGGGCGUAAAGAGCACGUAGGUGGGUUUGUAAGUCAGAUGUGAAAGCCUUCUGUUCAACGGAAGAAUUGCAUCUGAAACUGCGAGUCUUGAGUGUAGGAGGGGAGAAUGGAACUUCUGGUGGAGCGAUGAAAUGCGUAGAUAUCAGAAGGAACGCCGGCGGCGAAAGCGAUUCUCUGGCCUAUUACUGACACUCGGUGUGCGAAAGCUAGGGGAGCAAACGGGAUUAGAUACCCCGGUAGUCCUAGCUGUAAACGAUGGGCACUAAGUAGAGGGGUUUUA